rnacentral:rRNA from 1 species
CAAUAGCGUAUAUUUAAGUUGUUGCAGUUAAAAAGCUCGUAGUCGGAUUUUGGCUGAGAACGAUCGGUCCGCCGUUAGGUGUGCACUGAUUGGUCUCAGCUUCCUGGUGAGGAGGUGUGCUUCACGGCCACUUAGUCACCGUGGUUACUUUGAAAAAAUUAGAGUGUUCAAAGCGGGCUUACGCUUGAAUAUAUUAGCAUGGAAUAACACCAUAGGACUCCUGUCCUAUUUCGUUGGUCAUGGGACGGGAGCAAUGAUUAAGAGGAACAGUUGGGGGCAUUCGUAUUUCAUUGUCAGAGGUGAAAUUCUUGGAUUUAUGAAAGACGAACUUCUGCGAAAGCAUUUGCCAAGGAUGUUUUCAUUGA